AAAACAAAAAAAAAAAUCCAAAAUGAAAAGUUUAUCCUUUUCUUUAAUAAAAUUUCAGCGUAUGGAAGAUCUAAGUCCAUUCUAUGAGGGGAGAAAGGUGAUGUCUAAUAUAAUGUGAAGCUUUUGUGUUUGAAUAUGCAAUGCUUGCAUCAUACCUUUCUUCUUGGAAUUUAUCUGAUUAGUUUCAGUGUCUUUUUUUAAUAUACCUUUAGUGAAUUGAUUGGGUUCAUCAUUCUUGCAUGUUUUUGACAAGCAUAUGCAAGUAGAUCUGUUGGUUGAAAUUAGUACUAUGCCACACUACAGCCAUAUUUGGAUAGAUUUACUCUCUCUUUAAUUUUUUAAGCUUGACAUGGAAGAAUUUAUCAGUACCAAAUUCAUUACAAAGAUAUUAGUUAUCAGUACUGCAUUUCUGUACUUACCAAUGUUUUAAUUAUUUUUUAUGAUCUUUUCUAUGUUGACAAAUUAAUGAAUUAAAACAUAAUGUUUGGAGAUGCUGUCCAAGCUCUCUUUUAUUUUAGCCUGGCUUCCAGUUCACUUAAAUUUAAUUACACCAUCCAAAUCUGAACUUGGCUUAUUGUACAUAAAUAAUAUAUAAAGCCUGAUCUCUUGCUUUCAUUAUCUUUUUUAAGAAUAGUGACCAGCAAUAUUUCCUUUUGUUUACAAUACAGUCCUACCCAACUGUCAUUGCUUUAUUAAAAGUAGAAAGUCUCUAAGAAGUGCAUUAAUCUGGGUGAUCUAAAUGGGUGGCCAUCCUUUGAAUUAUUUUUCAUGCCUUAUAUUACUAAUAAUCUAUUGUGUCGCUGUUAUAAUUAUUAGACAAUGAAAAAUAAAAUUGCUGCGCCUAUAUUGUUAGAAACUGACUUCUUAGUUCAAGCAGGGUUUUUUCCUCUAUUCAUUUUUCCUUUUCCUACUUCUGCCAGCUGCAUAUGUUCAAAUAUAUUGUAUUUUUGCUCCAUGAUUUGACCAAUCAGUGGUUUAUGAAGAACUGAAGAUGAUGAACAUCUGAAUAGCUUAUAGAAGAGUCUAAAUUAUCACUGCAUAAGUUCAUAUGAUUAUCUCAUGAAUAUUAUUUUAGAGCUCCCCAGCUGAAGGUAAAGGUUGCAACCCUCUAAUUGCCUGCACGUUGGGAGUUACAACUUAUAAGUUACUCUUUAAGUUCUAUAUGUUCAACUGGAUGUGAAUUCCAGAAAAUUUUUUCUGAUUAUCAUUUUUUUUUAAUAAU
rnacentral:misc_RNA from 1 species